CGGGUACUGCUCCAGGUGGUACCGACUGGCCAGGCCUGCCACAUAGGCCUGCUCCUUGCCCCAGCGCAGCGCCUCCACCUCAGCUGCUGCCUCAGGGCUGCUCGGGGCAGCUGUGCCUUCCUGAGAAUCCAAACUCAAGAGACACUGUCUCCCAAAGUGCUGGACUUGGACGCAACAGAGGGCAAGUUCUGCAGGCUGCCCACUUUGGGACAGCAGAUGGAAGGCUCCGUGUCUACAGGAAAAAACGAAGCCGUGCACUUUCCAAUCGGUGCCUCUGGAUUCUCCACAGUGCCCUCUGCUCCCGACGAGCUGCCUCUGCAGACAACUUGCUAUAGUGGUCCACCAGUGCCUGCCUGAAGCCAUACCCAGAGUGGACAGUCACCAGUCACUGCACUGUCUAGCCUUUGCAUGCGAGGCAAGAACUCUACCAACUGAGCUAUGUCUCAGCCCCAAAAUAAAUAACUUUAAGGUAAACAAAUAGAUAAAGAGCCUAGACACCAAUCAUGCCAUGUGACAUGCCAACCAGCAAAAAGGCACUCUAGAUAGCUGAGGGCACCCAGCUUGUCAGCGGCCCCAGCAUGGAGCAGGAGCGUGGCCAAUGCACCAGCCUCCCCACCACACUGCGUGCCUGCACUCCUUGAGAUUAAACAGCCAUCACUGACAUUUAAGCCUGCACUGUGCCCGUGCCUGCGGCACCCCACCUGGCCUUCCUGUCCAGCUCUUCCUCCAGGGCUGUCAGCCGCUUCUCUCGGUCCCGGACCUCACGAGCAUAGCUGAAGUCAUCUUCCAGUUCUUCCUGUCGGGCCGCCAGGCGUCGCUACCCAACAAACAGCCCUGUUUGCUAAAUGGGGCUCCAGCAGCCAGAACCCAGGAGGGGCUGGGCCCACCCACCUUCCGGUCCAGGACCUGCAGGCUGGGCCCACCCACCUCCUGGUCCUUCACAAAUUGCUCCUUUAGACGCUGAAAUUGCUCUCGCUUCCGGGCAUCUAAGGCCAUCUGCUCGGACAUCUGCCGGUCUGUGUUGGAAGGCAAGAGGAAGUCAUGAGGAGCCCCAACAGAGGACCCAGGCCACAGCGGGGAGGAUUUGGAGCCAAACUUACCGCUCAGCUCACUCAGGACCCUGGAGGCUGCUUCCCGGGCAUGGACAAUUAAUUCUUGUUUUGCAAUUUCCAUACGUAGUUCCUAAAAAAGACAAUAAACAAAGCACUCUCA